ACGCACGCUGGCGGCGUGCUUAACACCUGCAAGUCGAACGGAAAGGCCCUGCUUUUGUGGGGUGCUCGAGUGGCGAACGGGUGAGUAACACGUGAGUAGCCUGCCCUUGACUUUGGGAUAACUUCAGGAAACUGGGGCUAAUACCGGAUAGGAGCUCCUGCUGCAUGGUGGGGGUUGGAAAGUUUCGGCGGUUGGGGAUGGACUCGCGGCUUAUCAGCUUGUUGGUGGGGUAGUGGCUUACCAAGGCUUUGACGGGUAGCCGGCCUGAGAGGGUGACCGGCCACAUUGGGACUGAGAUACGGCCCAGACUCCUACGGGAGGCAGCAGUGGGGAAUAUUGCACAAUGGGCGGAAGCCUGAUGCAGCAACGCCGCGUGCGGGAUGACGGCCUUCGGGUUGUAAACCGCUUUCGCCUGUGACGAAGCGUGAGUGACGGUAAUGGGUAAAGAAGCACCGGCUAACUACGUG
rnacentral:rRNA from 1 species